UGAGGACAGGCUGGCCUGGUUGCAGGUUUGGGGUGUGACCGGUGAGUCUCCUGGUUGUCCCCACCACUGGCCCAGGAAAGCCUGCAGCCAGGCCAGGCUCUGUCCCCACCACUGGCCCAGGAAAGCCUGCAGCCAGGCCAGGCUCAGGGCUGAGCAUCCACUGAGUCUGCCUGGAAAGUCGGCAACCUGGUUCCUCUUGGUCCUCUCUUACAGCGAGUCCCUGUGGCCCAUCGAGGCCAGAAACGCAGCCAUUGCCAAUCACUGCUUCACCUGCGCCAUCAAUCGAGUGGGCACCGAGCACUUCCCGAACGAGUUUACCUCGGGAGAUGGAAAGAAAGCUCACCAGGACUUUGGCUACUUUUAUGGCUCGAGCUAUGUGGCAGCCCCUGACAGCAGCCGGACUCCUGGGCUGUCCCGUAG
rnacentral:lncRNA from 1 species